CCUACGGGAGGCAGCAGUGGGGAAUAUUGGGCAAUGGGCGCAAGCCUGACCCAGCAACGCCGCGUGAAGGAUGAAGGUUUUCGGAUUGUAAACUUCUGUCGCGAGGGACGAAGAAUGACGGUAUCUCGUAAGAAAGCCCCGCCUAACGACGUGCCAGCAGCCGCGGUAAUACGUAGGGGGCAAGCGGUGUACGGAAUGACUGGGCGUAAAGGGAGUGUAGGGGGCACAGUAAGUGAGAUGUGAAAUCCCGCGGCUUAACCGCGGAACUGCAUCUAAAAAUGGUAAGCUGGAGUGCAGGAGAGGUGAGUGGAAGUCCUAGUGUAGCGGUGGAAUGCGUAGAUAGUAGGAGGAACACCAGGGGCGAAGGCGACUCACUGGACUGUAACUGACGCUGAGGCUCGAAAGCGUGGGGAGCAAACAGGAUUAGAUACCCGAGUAGUC
rnacentral:rRNA from 1 species